UUCUGACUCAGCAGGUCUGGGGAGGGCCUGAGAUCCUGGAUUUCUAACAGGUUCCCAGGAAUUUCCAGUGACU
rnacentral:miRNA from 1 species